CUUCUAGGUCUUCCUGUCUAUAGCAGCAAGAAAGAAUGAGGGAUGAGCAGAAUGUCAGCAAGUCAGCUGACUUGAGCAGCUAUGAACAGCUAUGUCGGUUCAGCAUCAAAUUGGUUCCACAAGGUCAUGAGGUUUUCAGAAGCAAAUGGAGCAUUUCAGGCUCAGUUUCACUAAAGAGAGAUGGGUCUUGCUACACAAGGAUAUGUCAUGUGCAAUUUUGUUUACUUGGGACUGUUUGCUAACCUCCAGCUUCAAUGAGUCAUGUGGAACAGGUUCCCUGAUCUGGUUCACAGCGCAGCCCAGCAAAAAGCUGGAACUGGGAAGAUUGAGGAGUGAUGCAGCAUGGCAUGAGGACAAAUAAGGCUGUGCAGGGAAGGAGCGGGUUUCCUGCAGGAUUGGUAAAGGACAGUAGAGAUUGCACCAGAAGUUACAGGAAAGAAGAUUUGGGAAUUGGAAGCAGACAUCAAAGGGGGUACAGAGUUGACGUAAAUCGAAGAGAGACUUGAGAGGCGACAGUGAAAGUUAGCUUUAGCUGGAGACGGGAGAGAAUGAGAACUAAAAGGUAUGUUGCAAUAGCCAGUCGUGAGUAAGAUUUGAAUCACAGUUAUGGGGGCGACAACAGGGACAGAUUUUAAGUAUAUCGCUCUAGAAGAGAAUCUCAGUGACAUGGAUAAAACACCAACUAGGAAACUGAGACUGGGGAAAAGGGGGCAACAAAGGCUUCACUGAGCCAACAAAACAAAAGUGGAGCAAGUGGGAAACCUGCAGUAAACCAGAAAGAAACUCUUUAUUUGGAACAGGAAACAUUCAAAUAGUAUUCAGUUCAAAUUACUGGAAAUACAGGGAUAAAUUAAAAUGCAUUAAACAAUUAAAUUAAGAGUACAUUUAUUUCCAAGGAUAAUAGGGAAAAAUCUGCCAAAAAAGGAGGAAACCUGUUCCCUCGGUCACACUAUGGCAAGCACCAUGUUCAUCAAAGAAAGGAAGGAGCAAUCCACCCCAAAAAAAUAAUAACAAAAAUUCUCCCCAGUUAAAGAUACCAAGCAGUGAUAUGUUUUCUAAAAAUGUAUACGUUUAUUAUAUUAAGCUUAAGUGAUUUCUAGCAGUUCCCAGAGACCAAAAACAAAAUACUCAAAUAAGCCUGGUAAACCUGCUGAAUCUGGUAAUGCAGUGUCCAGCACAAAAAGAAAUGUAUAGAAAGGGAAUAUUACACUGGAGAAAGAAAUCAUUCAGAUGAGAAGAUAGGACAAAUUUGGGAAAUAACAGCCACAGCUGAGUUUUAAGAGUAAUUGCUUAUUGCCAUAAGGUGUUUUCAAGUCAGUAAUUUUCCCUGUGCUUCCUCCCCAUCCAGCAUGGGCUCUCCCUCAGAAGAAAGAUUUGGGACAUCCUGCUUUAUUUGCUUUACUGUAAGAAAUAUGCUUGUUCUGCUAAUAGGUUUCUUUAACAAGCUUUUUUUUUAAUUAAAACAAAGAAAUUAAACACACUGGUUGUAAUAAUGAUGAGAGGGUAAACACUAAAAAACAAAAAAAUUGAUCAGUUCUCAACCUGACUGGCAAUCAUGUAGUGAAAACCCACAGCAACAAUGACAGCACCAGCACAAAAAGUAAUGAGAGGAAUUCUAAACAUUUUGGCUUAAGAAGAGUUAAUAAGUUUAAAGCACCAUGAUCUUACAUGCAACUGUUCUGAAGUCUUUUUGACACAGAUUUAUGGACACCUGUAAUGUUUGAUCUUGAUGCAAGAUCAAGUUAUGAAUUGUUUCAGUAAGUGAAGAGUAAUGAGCAAAGUAACUUUCAAAUAUGAAAAGAAAUUAUCUGAAUGACCAAGGCUAUACCUUAUAUAGAUGGGGUGGCAUGGUAAACAUCUCUAACAAAAAUUAAAUGUAAGUAACAGCUUCAUUGCUUAUUUUGUUGGGAAAUACAGUCUCAUCUUAGCUUUUUUAAAACAUUGAAUGUCUAAAUAGUUCUGUGGAACAGUAGGCUUGUGUAAACCUGUAAGUUGCAUCCUGCUUCCAUCCAAAACCUGUCAUAGGAAAAUGAGGCAAAUGAGUCUCAUGUGACUUAUGUAAAUGUUUUCAUUUAUCACCUUUAGCCUUAGAGCUUUGUUCUAAUCCAGGAGAGAGACAUGCAUCUAAAAACAACCAGCCCUCAAAUCCAGCCUGACCUAAAACCAACAGCAAAACAAAGCAGCACAGAUAUUUCUGUACCCAGACUGCUAUGCUGAGAGAGAGCUUCAUAAGGAAAGCUCAGCGUGGAUACAUCUCAAUGGUCUCCUCUGCUUCACCAGUUUUCUUGACUGUUUGGGUUUUUUUAAGGGGUUUGAUAUAAUGAGAACUGUGCUUUUAACAAUGAUUUGCAUACUGUGUAUAUUAAAUAAAUCAGAUUUAAUCCUCUCCUGUUCA
ensembl:lncRNA